CGCAAGGGGUUCACCGCGACGACCCCGUGAGGCUUCGGCCCAACGUUCGCGUCCAGCUUCCUUUUUUCAGGAUGGACGCAGCAUG
rnacentral:ncRNA from 1 species